rnacentral:rRNA from 1 species
UACGUAGGGUGCAAGCGUUAAUCGGAAUUACUGGGCGUAAAGCGUGCGCAGGCGGUUUCGUAAGUCUGUCGUGAGAUCCCCGGGCUUAACCUGGGAAUGGCGAUGGAGACUGCGAGGCUAGAGUUUGGCAGAGGGGGGUAGAAUUCCACGUGUAGCAGUGAAAUGCGUAGAGAUGUGGAGGAACACCGAUGGCGAAGGCAGCCCCCUGGGUCAAAACUGACGCUCAUGCACGAAAGCGUGGGGAGCAAACAGG